GGCGGACGGGUGAGUAACACGUGGGAACAUGCCCAAAGGUACGGAAUAUUCUCGGGAAACUGGGAGCAAUACCGUAUGUGCCCGAAAGGGGAAAGAUUUAUCGCCUUUGGAUUGGCCCGCGUUGGAUUAGCUAGUUGGUGGGGUGAAAGCCUACCAAGGCGACGAUCCAUAGCUGGUCUGAGAGGACGACCAGCCACACUGGGACUGAGACACGGCCCAGACUCCUACGGGAGGCAGCAGUGGGGAAUCUUGGACAAUGGGCGCAAGCCUGAUCCAGCCAUGCCGCGUGAGUGAUGAAGGCCCUAGGGUUGUAAAACUCUUUCGUGGGGGACGAUAAUGACGGUACCCCAAGAAGAAGCUCCGGCUAACUUCGUGCCAGCAGCCGCGGUAAU
rnacentral:rRNA from 1 species